GCGCUCACUUCGGCAGCAUGUAUACUAAAAUUGGACCUGUACAGAGAUCAGCAUGGCACCGCUGCAGGGAUGACACACAAAUUCGUGAAGCAUUGCAUAUUAAA
rnacentral:snRNA from 1 species